AAAAGUGAAAGACGGUCUUGCUGUCACUUAUAGAUGGAUCCGCGCUGCAUUAGCUAGUUGGUAAGGUAACGGCUUACCAAGGCAACGAUGCAUAGCCGACCUGAGAGGGUGAUCGGCCACACUGGAACUGAGACACGGUCCAGACUCCUACGGGAGGCAGCAGUAGGGAAUCUUCCGCAAUGGGCGAAAGCCUGACGGAGCAACGCCGCGUGAGUGAUGAAGGUCUUCGGAUCGUAAAACUCUGUUAUUAGGGAAGAACAUAUGUGUAAGUAACUGUGCACAUCUUGACGGUACCUAAUCAGAAAGCCACGGCUAACUACGUGCCAGCAGCCGCGGUAAUACGUAGGUGGCAAGCGUUAUCCGGAAUUAUUGGGCGUAAAGCGCGCGUAGGCGGUUUUUUAAGUCUGAUGUGAAAGCCCACGGCUCAACCGUGGAGGGUCAUUGGAAACUGGAAAACUUGAGUGCAGAAGAGGAAAGUGGAAUUCCAUGUGUAGCGGUGAAAUGCGCAGAGAUAUGGAGGAACACCAGUGGCGAAGGCGACUUUCUGGUCUGUAACUGACGCUGAUGUGCGAAAGCGUGGGGAUCAAACAGGAUUAGAUACCCUGGUAGUCCACGCCGUAAACGAUGAGUGCUAAGUGUUAGGGGGUUUCCGCCCCUUAGUGCUGCAGCUAACGCAUUAAGCACUCCGCCUGGGGA
rnacentral:rRNA from 1 species